AUUGAACGCUGGCGGCAUGCCUUACACAUGCAAGUCGAACGGCAGCAUAGGAGCUUGCUCCUGAUGGCGAGUGGCGAACGGGUGAGUAAUAUAUCGGAACGUGCCCUGGAGUGGGGGAUAACUAGUUGAAAGAUUGGCUAAUACCGCAUACGAUCUAAGGAUGAAAGUGGGGGAUCGCAAGACCUCAUGCUCAUGGAGCGGCCGAUAUCUGAUUAGCUUGUUGGUGAGGUAAAAGCUCACCAAGGCAACGAUCAGUAGCUGGUCUGAGAGGACGAUCAGCCCCAUUGGGACUGAGACACGGCCCAAACUCCUACGGGAGGCAGCAGUGGGGAAUUUUGGACAAUGGAGGAAACCCUGAUCCAGCAAUGCCACGUGAGUGAAGAAGGCCUUCGGGUUGUAAAGCUCUUUUGUCAGGGAAGAAACGGUGUCAACUAAUAUUUGAUGCUAAUGACGGUACCUGAAGAAUAAGCACCGGCUAACUACGUGCCAGCCGCCGCGGUAA
rnacentral:rRNA from 1 species